rnacentral:rRNA from 1 species
UACGGAGGGAGCUAGCGUUGUUCGGAAUUACUGGGCGUAAAGCGCGCGUAGGCGGCUUUGUAAGUUAGAGGUGAAAGCCCGGGGCUCAACUCCGGAACUGCCUUUAAAACUGCAUCGCUUGAAUCCAGGAGAGGUGAGUGGAAUUCCGAGUGUAGAGGUGAAAUUCGUAGAUAUUCGGAAGAACACCAGUGGCGAAGGCGGCUCACUGGUCCGGUACUGACGCUGAGGUGCGAAAGCGUGGGGAGCAUACAGG